UUAAGGUUGACCUCGGAUCAGGUAGGAAUACCCGCUGAACUUAAGCAUAUCA
rnacentral:rRNA from 5 species